AACGAACGCUGGCGGCAUGCCUAACACAUGCAAGUCGAACGAGACCUUCGGGUCUAGUGGCGCACGGGUGCGUAACGCGUGGGAACCUGCCCUUAGGUUCGGAAUAACUCCCCGAAAGGGGUGCUAAUACCGGAUAAUGUCCUCGGACCAAAGAUUUAUCGCCUUUGGAUGGGCCCGCGUUGGUUUAGCUGGUUGGUAGGGUAAAAGCCUACCAAGGCGACGAUCCAUAGCUGGUCUGAGAGGAUGAUCAGCCACACUGGGACUGAGACACGGCCCAGACUCCUACGGGAGGCAGCAGUGGGGAAUAUUGGACAAUGGGCGAAGGCCUGAUCCAGCUAUGCCGCGUGAGUGAUGAAGGCCUUAGGGUUGUAAAGCUCUUUUACCCGGGAUGAUAAUGACAGUACCGGGAGAAUAAGCUCCGGCUAACUCCGUG
rnacentral:rRNA from 1 species